AUUGAACGCUGGCGGCAGGCCUAACACAUGCAAGUAGAACGAGUGGCGGACGGGUGAGUAAUGUCUGGGAAACUGCCUGAUGGAGGGGGAUAAAUCCUGGAAACGGUAGCUCAUACCGCAUACCAUCAGAUGUGCCCAGAGGGGAUUAGCUAGUUGGUGGGGUAACUGCUCACCAGGGCGACGAUCCCUAGCUGGUUUGAGAGGAUGACCAGCCAUGCUGUAACUGAGACACGGACCAGACUCCUACGGGGGGCAGCAGGGGGGAAUAUUGCACAAGGGGCGCAAGCCUGAUGCAGCCAUGCCGCGUGUAUGAAGAAGGCCUUCGGGUUGUAAAGUACUUUCAGCGGGGAGGCGUUACCCGCAGAAGAAGCACCGGCUAACUCCGUGCCAGCAGCCGCGGUAAUUC
rnacentral:rRNA from 1 species